UUUUUAAAAAGUUGGGAAAGGUAAAUGAUUUUCACCCAAUAUAAAUUCAUUUAUGAAGGUGUUAUUAAUUUAACCGAUAACCACUAAACAAAUACUAAGCCAAUCGAUAUCUUAUAGGUCUGUUAUCGGGUUAAUACAUUUAAAAGACAUUUAUAAUAUAUAGAAGGGGGAGUUUGAAGGCCGAACAAGGACGAACAAGGGCAAAAAUAUAUUUUUAAUGUUUGUUUUGGGAAAAUUUGGAACUUAACUUACUCUUAUAUACAUUCUUCUCCCUUAUUCUAGGAAAAAAAAAAAAAGGAAAUACGGAUCAAAUUUUCUAUUAGCUUCUCAUUCUCUACUUCUACCUUCAUACUGCUCCUUAAUUCAGAUUAUCGUGCUUUGCUUCGAGUUUUUCCCCAGUGUUGUUGUAUUUCGGAGGUACAGUAAUAUUUUUUUUUGUUGGUAUUUUAUUCCACUACUUUUGAUGACUAUAUGAUGAUAGGUUUUCUGCUGGUUUUGUAAUAUAUUGUAGAACUUUGCAUGGCUAUUAUGCUGAUUUUGUAGGAAUUUGGGGUUCAUAGCAAUCUUAGGUUUCUUCCAAUUUUUCAAUUUUACGAAGAAAAAGAAAGGCCAACACCAGUUUAAGAAAUUAGUUUUUUGUUUUUUUGUCCUAAAAAUGAAUCUCAGUCGAAUUAUUAUCUUCUUACGUGGCUGAGAUAUGCUCAGAUUUUUUUCUCUAUGCUUUGAUCAUCUUUGACGCCUUUUCUUCUUAUACUAACCAAAUUAAAGUUUCAUAUCUCCUUCCUUUAUUCACAUCACAAAUGCUUUAUUGCAAUUUGGCAUGUUUCUGAGGUGAAUUAUACUUUAGAAUAAAGACUACUUUGGUGGGUUUGGAGAUAACUGAAAAGUAAGCAUUUUGUUCUAUUCUCAAAAGAAAAAAUAGGCCUUUUGUUUUGGAAGAACCCAGCUAGCUACAAGCAUCAAAGAUUGUAUCUUUGUGUGUUUGAGGUUGAAUCAUGAUUCAGAUCAGAGAGAAAUUUGGUGUAUUAUUUAGGACACUUCGAAUCAUUUGGCGAUAAGACUCCCUGUAGUGGCAUUGUGUCAUACUGCCAUUCGUUGGAACCUGUUAAAGAGAAAGGUUAGAUCUUGGAGAGGGGUAAGAAAUACAUCUUGAAGUGCAAGCUAAAAUACUUUUUUCCCAAGACAACAAUAAGGUUGUUUAGAAGAAAGUGACAAAAAAAUGGAGAAAAAUGUCCAAAAUUAAUGUUGCAAUCUUAUUGUUUGGUAAUUUGAACUCUAUAUCCUAGAUCAAGGACAAGGAGCUAAGUAAGCAUGCAAUGGUCAAGGAUGCUACCCAUCCUUCUAGAUGAACUAAUUGAAUUGACUGUUAGUGCGUCAAACAACUUUUGUUGCUUUCUGCUUCAGAUCUAAUGCCAUCAUUAUUUUCUAAAUUAUUACGAAGUCAUGUUGUUCUCUUUAAAUUAUCUUACUUAAAACUUAUUUUGUUCACAUGAACCGUAAGUGUUGAGCCCGUGUCUAGUAUAAAAUAGGGAUAUUUUCGGAGACCUCUCUUGAGGUUUGGCUCCGUUUCACUGACCUCCCCUAUGUUUUACGCUAUUACACUUAACUCCCUUGUUUUGACU